AAACCCAAGUUGGAGCUCUCAGCACUCCAGUGUUGAAGGAAGUGAUGGUAAACCCUAGCUGCUAAUUCAUGGUUACCUUUGGUUUCACAUAAGGAAGCAUGUGAAGUCAUGGGUCUGCAUGAACUUGGAGAUGGGGUUGCCUUGAUCUUUUAGUAUUGGAGUGAAGGGAGCUCCUAAUUAGGCCUUC
rfam:Glycine soja cultivar W05 scaffold3836_4, whole genome shotgun sequence.